GCAGACACGCUCUGUUCUUCGCUGAGCACUCCAGCCUAGGACUUUUUCUGUCUGCUACAUUAACAUGCAGAAUGUAACACUUUACUGGCUUUGUAAAAGGCUAGUGUUGGUAUGUUCUGCGACAUUUCA
ensembl:snoRNA